rnacentral:rRNA from 1 species
CGCUCGCAGGGUUGCGACGUCUCUCGAAUGUCAAAACGACUCUCGGCAACGGAUAUCUCGGCUCUCGCAUCGAUGAAGAACGUAGCGAAAUGCGAUACUUGGUGUGAAUUGCAGAAUCCCGUGAACCAUCGAGUCUUUGAACGCAAGUUCCGCCUGAAGCCAUUUGGCCGAGGGCACGCCUGCCUGGGCGUCACGCAUC